GACGAACCGUGCGAACGUUGUUCGGAAUCACUGGGCUUAAAGGGCGCGUAGGCGGGUUGCCGCGUCCGGGGUGAAAUUCCACGGCUCAACCGUGAAACUGCCUCGGAUACGGGCGGCCUAGAGGGGGGUAGGGGCGGGCGGAACUCUGCGUGGAGCGGUGAAAUGCGUUGAUAUGCAGAGGAACUCCGGUGGCGAAGGCGGCCCGCUGGACCCCAUCUGACGCUGAGGCGCGAAAGCCAGGGGAGCGAACGGG
rnacentral:rRNA from 1 species